rnacentral:rRNA from 1 species
UACGUAGGUGGCAAGCGUUGUCCGGAAUUACUGGGCGUAAAGAGUGUGUAGGCGGUGUUCCCAGUCUGUUGUGAAAUCUCCCGGCUUAACUGGGAGGGUGCAGCGGAAACUAGAAUGCUAGAGGGUGGGAGAGGUAAGCGGAAUUCCUGGUGUAGCGGUGAAAUGCGUAGAUAUCAGGAGGAACACCUGUGGUGUAGACAGCUUACUGGACCACUUCUGACGCUGAGACACGAAAGCGUGGGUAGCAAACAGG